rnacentral:rRNA from 1 species
GAUUGAACGCUGGCGGCAUGCUUUACACAUGCAAGUCGAACGGGGUGGGGGGCAACCUUCAUUCAGUGGCGAACGGGUGAGUAAUGCAUCGGAACGUAUCCCGUAGUGGGGGACAACGCCGCGAAAGCGGCGCUAAUACCGCAUAUGCUCUACGGAGGAAAGUGGGGGACCGCAAGGCCUCACGCUAUGGGAGCGGCCGAUGUCCGAUUAGCUAGUUGGUGGGGUAAUGGCCCACCAAGGCGACGAUCGGUAGCUGGUCUGAGAGGAUGAUCAGCCACACUGGGACUGAGACACGGCCCAGACUCCUACGGGAGGCAGCAGUGGGGAAUUUUGGACAAUGGGGGCAACCCUGAUCCAGCCAUGCCGCGUGCGGGAAGAAGGCCUUCGGGUUGUAAACCGCUUUUAGUCGGGAAGAAAAGGCACGUCCUAAUACGGCGUGUUCUUGACGGUACCGGCGGAAUAAGCACC